rnacentral:rRNA from 1 species
AACUCCCUACGGGGGGCAGCAGUGGGGGCUAUUGCACAAUGGGGGGAACCCUGAUGCAGCGACGCCGCGUGGGUGAAGAAGCGCCUCGGCGCGUAAAGCCCUGUCAGCAGGGAAGAAAAUGACGGUACCUGAAGAAGAAGCCCCGGUUAACUACGUGCCAGCAGCCGCGGUAAUCCGUAGGGGGCAAGCGUUAUCCGGAUUUACUGGGUGUAAAGGGGGCGCAGACGGCGAUGCAAGCCAGGAGUGAAAGCUCGGGGCCCAACCCCGGGACUGCUCUUGGAACUGCGUG